CGCCAGAGCGUGCUUGCACGCGGUGGCGCUCUGCCAUAGGCCGGCAAGACAGUAUGAGCACGGGGGCUGCCGGAAGGCAGGCCGGAAAGUGCGAAUACUGUCGGCGAUUGCGAGAGCACGAAGUGCGGAGCAAUCGGCUU
rnacentral:sRNA from 1 species